CAUUAGGCGCAAACCGUGCACCUAUCUUGCACUGAAUCUAACACUGUCACCAAACAGAUCGAAGCUAGAUUCCAUGUGACACACAUUACAUUAGGCACAAACCGUGCACCUAUCUUGCACCGAAGCUAACAUUGUCUCUAAAUAGACCGAAGCAAGAUUCCAUAUGACACACGUCAUCUAGGUGUUUCAUUGGGUGUGUCCAAAUUGAUUUCUGAGCAUAUGAUAUGUUCCACACAAAUAGUGCACCU
rnacentral:lncRNA from 1 species